UAGGGAAUCUUCCACAAUGGACGCAAGUCUGAUGGAGCAACGCCGCGUGAGUGAAGAAGGUUUUCGGACCGUAAAGCUCUGUUGUUGGUGAAGAAGGAUAGAGGUAGUAACUGGCCUUUAUUUGACGGUAAUCAACCAGAAAGUCACGGCUAACUACGUGCCAGCAGCCGCGGUAAUCGUAGGUGGCAAGCGCUGUCCGGAUUUAUUGGGCGUAAAGCGAGCGCAGGCGGAAGAAUAAGUCUGAUGUGAAAGCCCUCGGCUUAACCGAGGAAUUGCAUCGGAAACUGUUUUCUUGAGUGCAGAAGAGGAGAGUAGAACUCCAUGUGUAGCGGUGGAAUGCGUAGAUAUAUGGAAGAAUACCAGUGGCGAAGGCGGCUCUCUGGUCUGCAACUGACGCUGAGGCUCGAAAGCAUGGGUAGCGAACAGGAUUAGAUACCCUGGUAGUCCAUGCCGUAAACGAUGAGUGCUAAGUGUUGGGAGGCUUCCGCCUCUCAGUGCUGCAGCUAACGCAUUAAGCACUCCGCCUGGGGGAGUACGACCGCAAGGUUGAAAC
rnacentral:rRNA from 1 species